rnacentral:tRNA from 1 species
UUUAGCUUAGUAUAAUGAGUACACUUUCCUUCCAAGUAAGAGGUCUAGUAUUAGAGUUGAGG